rnacentral:sRNA from 1 species
AUAACCUUGUUAGGUGAGGCUCCUAUACAAACAUAGGCUAUUGCGCAGAAACGUCGAAAGACGCCAAUGUGUAAAACAGGAAUUGUCGAAUUAAGGCUUUUCACAAAAUAGCUAAGAAUGUUUCUUUACGUUGUAUAGUGCUAAAACUCAGACGAUGAGAU